rnacentral:rRNA from 1 species
GAUGAACGCUGGCGGCGUGCCUAAUACAUGCAAGUCGAGCGAACAGACGAGGAGCUUGCUCCUCUGACGUUAGCGGCGGACGGGUGAGUAACACGUGGAUAACCUACCUAUAAGACUGGGAUAACUUCGGGAAACCGGAUCUAAUACCGGAUAAUAUAUUGAACCGCAUGGUUCAAUAGUGAAAGACGGUUUUGCUGUCACUUAUAGAUGGAUCCGCGCCGCAUUAGCUAGUUGGUAAGGUAACGGCUUACCAAGGCAACGAUGCGUAGCCGACCUGAGAGGGUGAUCGGCCACACUGGAACUGAGACACGGUCCAGACUCCUACGGGAGGCAGCAGUAGGGAAUCUUCCGCAAUGGGCGAAAGCCUGACGGAGCCACGCCGCGUGAGUGAUGAAGGUCUUCGGAUCGUAAAACUCUGUUAUUAGGGAAGAACAACUGUGUAAGUAACUAUGCACGUCUUGACGGUACCUAAUCAGAAAGCCACGGCUAACUACGUG